rnacentral:rRNA from 1 species
UACAGAGGGGGCAAGCGUUGUUCGGAAUUACUGGGCGUAAAGGGCGCGUAGGCGGCCUGCUAAGUCGAACGUGAAAUCCCCGGGCUCAACCCGGGAACUGCGUCCGAUACUGGUAGGCUUGAAUUCGGGAGAGGGAUGCGGAAUUCCAGGUGUAGCGGUGAAAUGCGUAGAUAUCAGGAGGAACACCGGUGGCGAAGGCGGUUCUCUGGGCAUGUCCUGACGCUGAGGAGCGAAAGUGUGGGGAGCGAACAGG